UGGACAAGGACGAGUCUGACGACUGCGAUCCGGAUCCAAAGCCAAGAUGUGGUGGUCGAUUGUUCCAUCCACUGCCCUAACUAUAGGCUUUCUCUUUAUCCCUGCAACAGUAGUUGAUAAAAUAUUUCGAGUGAUUCGUUAUAACGAUAAGGCACUACAAAGAGAUACAUUUGUAACAGAAGACUACACCAUGAGUCACAGAGAUUACUACAUUAUGGGAAGCAGAUAUGUCCGUAGGGGCAUGGAAUUUAUUCCAGAGGUUGAAUAAAGAGAACAUCAUUGGAUAUAACUAUGUCUUAUUUAGAAAUGUUGUUUUGAUAUAAUUAACUAUUCUGUAAUAAACAAUUUUCUGAAUUAAA